CCCUUAGAUGUUCUGGGCCGCACGCGCGCUACACUGACGAAGUCAGCGAGCAUGUCCUACGCCGACAGGUCCGGGUAAUCUUUGAAUCUGCAUCGUGACGGGGAUAGAUUAUUGCAAUUAUUAAUCUUCAACGAGGAAUGCCUAGUAGGCGCAAGUCAUCAGCUUGCGUCGAUUACGUCCCUGCCCUUUGUACACACCGCCCGUCGCUCCUACCGAUUGGGUGUGCUGGUGAAAUGUUCGGAUCGGCCGUUUGUCGCGGUUUCCGCGUCAUGUGGCUGAGAAGUUCAUUAAACCCUCCCACCUAGAGGAAGGAGAAGUCGUAACA
rnacentral:rRNA from 1 species